rnacentral:rRNA from 1 species
GUCGACGGUAGAGGGGGCAACCCCUUGAGAGUGGCGAACGGGUGAGUAAUAUAUCGGAACGUGCCCAGUCGUGGGGGAUAACGUAGCGAAAGUUACGCUAAUACCGCAUACGAUCUACGGAUGAAAGCGGGGGAUCGCAAGACCUCGCGCGAUUGGAGCGGCCGAUAUCAGAUUAGGUAGUUGGUGAGGUAAAGGCUCACCAAGCCAACGAUCUGUAGCUGGUCUGAGAGGACGACCAGCCACACUGGAACUGAGACACGGUCCAGACUCCUACGGGAGGCAGCAGUGGGGAAUUUUGGACAAUGGACGCAAGUCUGAUCCAGCCAUUCCGCGUGCAGGAUGAAGGCCCUCGGGUUGUAAACUGCUUUUGUACGGAACGAAAAGGUCUCUCUUAAUACGGGGGGCUCAUGACGGUACCGUAAGAAUAAGCACCGGCUAACUACGUGCCAGCAGCCGCGGUAAUACGUAGGGUGCAAGCGUUAAUCGGAAUUACUGGGCGUAAAGCGUGCGCAGGCGGUUAUAUAAGACAGAUGUGAAAUCCCCGGGCUCAACCUGGGAACUGCAUUUGUGACUGUAUAGCUAGAGUACGGUAGAGGGGGAUGGAAUUCCGCGUGUAGCAGUGAAAUGCGUAGAUAUGCGGAGGAACACCGAUGGCGAAGGCAAUCCCCUGGACCUGUACUGACGCUCAUGCACGAAAGCGUGGGGAGCAAACAGGAUUAGAUACCCUGGUAGUCCACGCCCUAAACGAUG